rnacentral:lncRNA from 1 species
AUAUAUGUAUGUAUGUUAUAUCUUUCAGUGACGUUACUUACGGACUUUCUGUCAUUGGCUGAUGCAGGACUAACCAUUAAGUAUAUGCUGUCUCCAGAUUUUUGUACCAAGGAUCCUGCUCCAGGGCAGCUUUGUGUGACUGCUCCCUCUGCAGCUGAACACUGCCAAAAGUCUCCCUGCUGCAGCUUUUGACAAGCCCUCUGCAGAAGCUUUAGGAAGGCCUUUGGGGAGGCCUGCAUAGUGCAUCUAAGCUAUCAGUGCUAUCAGAGCACAAACAACACCAGAUGGACACAGAAAACUGCGCACACCCCUCAAUACACUUCAGCUCCUCAUCAACCCACAUUUUCAUUGGCUUUUGGUUUCUUUGCAUAAAAACUGUAAGUUUUGUGGGCUAGGGAAAUGAAGAGAGCAUAUAGAACCAGGUACACUGAAGGUUUCUUAUCUUGGGUUAUCACAAGACUGUGCUUUUUAAGUAUUUUAAUCAUGAUAAAUGUAUACCUGAAACAGAUGGCAGUCAUUUAAAAUUUAACUCAGUCUCAGUCAGUUUGCAACACACAUAUUGUUUCCUGUUGUCAGACUGUGAUUUGGUGCUUUAUUUUCUUUGUGCAAGGGCUGAGUAUGCAUCUCAAAUGGAUUAAUUUCACUUCACACAUAAAGCUACAGAAUCGUCCACAGAGCUAAUCUAUAUGAAAAUGAAAAUUGUUCUCUUGGUAAUAGUUCUUUCCCCUUAAUUCCAUUUCAGUUCCAUUUUCUUUCAUUUUUAUUAUUAUUAUUUUAAAUUCUAAAAAUCUAUCUUUACACUACACCUGAGUUAUGUGGAUUUGCAUUCUUGUUUCUUGUUUUAACUACAACUAGGCUUUUGGGACUCAGAAGGCAGCAUUGUAUGUUAGCCCUCCUUCACAACACUUAAUUAGCAGUCCCAGAGCAGUGCUACUAUAAUGGAAGAAAAAAUACUUUAUUAACACACAAAGUAACAGGCUUCCAAACAGCAGAGACUCCAAAGGGGCAAUGGGAGUAAUUGAGAGUUUGAUCUGUUGAGAGCCCCCAUCCCCCACCUGAAGCCAAUUUGAUAUUGAUAGACUCUACCACUUUCCAUGUAUUCAACAAAUACCAAUGGUCUCUGCUUUUAUCAACAUUGUCUCACCAUUUUGACUUCAUCUCACACCAGAUAUCAUCUGUUCUCCUGAUGUUCAUGGACAGUUUUGGGCUGCCACAGACUACUGCUGUGAAUUUGGGUUAAACAGGGAAGAAUGGGGUUGCUCAGUCUCACUUGUCCUGAUGGGGCAGGCACUGCUCAGGUGCACAGCAGAUGACUGGAGAAUAGAAUCAUUAAAGAGAGGGGGUAGAAAAGGUUAAGCUCCAGGAUGUCAGUAAGAGAGAAACAAUAAUAAACUCCAAGUGAAAUGAUUUUAGCA